rnacentral:hammerhead_ribozyme from 1 species
ACCCAGCUGACGAGUUCCAAAUGGGAUGAAACGUGCGUCCUGGAU